rnacentral:rRNA from 1 species
AUUGAACGCUGGCGGCAGGCCUAACACAUGCAAGUCGAGCGGAUGAAGGGAGCUUGCUCCUGGAUUCAGCGGCGGACGGGUGAGUAAUGCCUAGGAAUCUGCCUGGUAGUGGGGGAUAACGUCCGGAAACGGGCGCUAAUACCGCAUACGUCCUGAGGGAGAAAGUGGGGGAUCUUCGGACCUCACGCUAUCAGAUGAGCCUAGGUCGGAUUAGCUAGUUGGUGGGGUAAAGGCCUACCAAGGCGACGAUCCGUAACUGGUCUGAGAGGAUGAUCAGUCACACUGGAACUGAGACACGGUCAAGACUACUACGGGAGGCAGCAGUGGGGAAUAUUGGACAAUGGGCGAAAGCAUGAUCCAGCCAUGCCGCGUGUGUGAAGAAGGUCUUCGGAUUGUAAAGCACUUUAAGUUGGGAGGAAGGGCAGUAAGUUAAUACCUUGCUGUUUUGACGUUACCAACAGAAUAAGCACCGGCUAACUUCGUG